UACGUAGGGCGCAAGCGUUGUCCGGAAUUAUUGGGCGUAAAGAGCUCGUAGGCGGCCUGUUGCGUCCGCUGUGAAAUCCCGGGGCUUAACCCCGGGCGUGCAGUGGAUACGGGCAGGCUGGAGGCAGGCAGGGGAGAACGGAAUUCCCGGUGUAGCGGUGAAAUGCGCAGAUAUCGGGAGGAACACCGGUGGCGAAGGCGGUUCUCUGGGCCUUACCUGACGCUGAGGAGCGAAAGCGUGGGGAGCGAACAGG
rnacentral:rRNA from 1 species